GGAAGGGCGAAGCGUGAUCCAGCCAUGCCGCGGUGUGUGAAGAAGGUCUUCGGAUUGUAAAGCACUUUAAGUUGGGAGGAAGGGCAGUAAGUUAAUACCUUGCUGUUUUGACGUUACCAACAGAAUAAGCACCGGCUAACUUCGUGCCAGCAGCCGCGGUAAUACGAACCCUC
rnacentral:rRNA from 1 species